ensembl:lncRNA
GCGUGUAGGGGGGGCUCAGACCAAAGGGGGAGACACAGACUCUGCCCAGCACCCACGGUCCCCAAGAAACUCCCUUAACAGAUGAAGAAGAAAAUGAGGUCCAGUCUCUUGAAGGCAAGAUGAGGUGACCUAGCCAGGGGCCGAGGCCACGUAGCUCACUCAAGGGCGUUCCACAUGGCCACCUUCCCCCUUUCGUGGAGCCCUGGUGCGGAUGGUUUAGGGGCCUUCCAGAGCGGCACGCCGGUGAGGUCUGUCUCCUGCUGUACGGGCCAAGAAAUCAUCUCACAAAAGGGCGCCUCCACAGAACCUCUGCCCCACCUCUUAUUUCAGGAUGCAGACCCUAACUCCGUGCCUAGCACAGGGAAGCAGUCAAUGAACACCAGAGGAAUAGAUGAACCUAUUUGGAAGGGCAAGAAGUCGGAGAUUCCUCUGACAGACAUCUUCUCAAAGUUGCCUACUGCUCCAUCUCUGACGCCCCAAACACGAGACAAGGGGCAACCGAAAGGGCAGUGAAGACUCCCCCAGCAAUCCGCGACUCCGUGCUUGAGGAGAAGCUGAAAUCUUUUCAUCAUCCAAUCGCCAGCAGCUCACUGGAAAGCAGGCUGAAGUUCUGGAAACAAUCGGACUCACGAAAAUCAACAGGGAUGGCUACACAUUAAUUGUCCGAAGUCCAAAAUUCUGCCACUCCUUAAAGGAGGCAGAGGAGAAGGAACUAAAAACCAAGGACAAAAAAGCAACCAAGGUUAGGCAGAGAAGGACUCCAGCGCAAGGAGUAAGACUUCCAGAGGGCGAGCCGUGGCGCCCAGGGCAGAGCGGAGGCCGAGGUUUCUCUGGCAUCCUGUCUCCCACUGGGCAGGCAGGCGCGCUCUCCGGAGGAACACACAUCUUCUUCGGCCCCUCUCUCCGAGGUCUGCUCCAAGAAAAAGAAAACACGUUUAACCAGAGAUAGAGGGUAGAAAGGGCAGCCGGCUCUUAAAACUUGGGCCAUAAAUGUGCUCGAAGGUUGGUUUUGCCCUAAAAGGAAAUAAAAUUUAUGGUUUGUCAGAUAAGUAGAAAGGAAAACCCUCAGGAUGGAAACCUGGCCAGAUAAAAGUCUACAAAUG